GUGGGGAAUAUUGGGCAAUGGGCGAAAGCCUGACCCAGCAACGCCGCGUGAAGGAAGAAGGUCUUCGGAUCGUAAACUUCUAUCCUUGGUGAAGAUAAUGACGGUAGCCGAGAAGGAAGCCCCGGCUAACUACGUGCCAGCAGCCGCGGUAAUACGUAGGGGGCAAGCGUUGUCCGGAAUGAUUGGGCGUAAAGGGCGCGUAGGCGGCCUGGUAAGUCUGGAGUGAAAGUCCUGCUUUUAAGGUGGGAAUUGCUUUGGAUACUGUCGGGCUUGAGUGCAGGAGAGGUAAGUGGAAUUCCCGGUGUAGCGGUGAAAUGCGUAGAGAUCGGGAGGAACACCAGUGGCGAAGGCGACUUACUGGACUGUAACUGACGCUGAGGCGCGAAAGUGUGGGGAGCAAACAGGAUUAGAAACCCUGGUAGUUCC
rnacentral:rRNA from 1 species